CGGGGUGAGUAACGUGUGGGCAACCUGCCCUAUACUGGGGAAUAAUCACUGGAAACGGUGACUAAUACCGCAUGUCAUUACGGAAGGGCAUCCUUCUGUAAGAAAAGGAGUAAUUCGGUAUAGGAUGGGCCCGCAUCUGAUUAGCUAGUUGGUGAGAUAACAGCCCACCAAGGCGACGAUCAGUAGCCGACCUGAGAGGGUGAUCGGCCACAUUGGGACUGAGACACGGCCCAA
rnacentral:rRNA from 1 species